UUAAGCGACUAAGCGUACACGGUGGAUGCCCUGGCAGUCAGAGGCGAUGAAGGACGUGCUAAUCUGCGAAAAGCGUCGGUAAGGUGAUAUGAACCGUUAUAACCGGCGAUGUCCGAAUGGGGAAACCCAGUGCAAUUCGUUGCACUAUCGUUAACUGAAUACAUAGGUUAACGAGGCGAACCGGGGGAACUGAAACAUCUAAGUACCCCGAGGAAAAGAAAUCAACCGAGAUUCCCCCAGUAGCGGCGAGCGAACGGGGAGCAGCCCAGAGUCUGAAUCAGCUUGUGUGUUAGUGGAACGGUCUGGAAAGUCCGACGGUACAGGGUGAUAGUCCCGUACACCAAAAUGCACAGGUUGUGAACUCGAAGAGUAGGGCGGGACACGUGGUAUCCUGUCUGAAUAUGGGGGGACCAUCCUCCAAGGCUAAAUACUCCUGACUGACCGAUAGUGAACCAGUACCGUGAGGGAAAGGCGAAAAGAACCCCGGCGAGGGGAGUGAAAAAGAACCUGAAACCGUGUACGUACAAGCAGUGGGAGCACCUUCGGGUGUGACUGCGUACCUUUUGUAUAAUGGGUCAGCGACUUAUAUUCUGUAGCAAGGUUAACCGUAUAGGGGAGCCGCAGGGAAACCGAGUCUUAACUGGGCGUUAAGUUGCAGGGUAUAGACCCGAAACCCGGUGAUCUAGCCAUGGGCAGGUUGAAGGUUGGGUAACACUAACUGGAGGACCGAACCGACUAAUGUUGAAAAAUUAGCGGAUGACUUGUGGCUGGGGGUGAAAGGCCAAUCAAACCGGGAGAUAGCUGGUUCUCCCCGAAAGCUAUUUAGGUAGCGCCUCGUGAAUUCAUCUUCGGGGGUAGAGCACUGUUUCGGCUAGGGGGUCAUCCCGACUUACCAACCCGAUGCAAACUACGAAUACCGAAGAAUGUUAUCACGGGAGACACACGGCGGGUGCUAACGUCCGUCGUGAAGAGGGAAACAACCCAGACCGCCAGCUAAGGUCCCAAAGUCAUGGUUAAGUGGGAAACGAUGUGGGAAGGCACAGACAGCCAGGAUGUUGGCUUAGAAGCAGCCAUCAUUUAAAGAAAGCGUAAUAGCUCACUGGUCGAGUCGGCCUGCGCGGAAGAUGUAACGGGGCUAAACCAUGCACCGAAGCUGCGGCAGCGACACUAUGUGUUGUUGGGUAGGGGAGCGUUCUGUAAGCCUGCGAAGGUGUGCUGUGAGGCAUGCUGGAGGUAUCAGAAGUGCGAAUGCUGACAUAAGUAACGAUAAAGCGGGUGAAAAGCCCGCUCGCCGGAAGACCAAGGGUUCCUGUCCAACGUUAAUCGGGGCAGGGUGAGUCGACCCCUAAGGCGAGGCCGAAAGGCGUAGUCGAUGGGAAACAGGUUAAUAUUCCUGUACUUGGUGUUACUGCGAAGGGGGGACGGAGAAGGCUAUGUUAGCCGGGCGACGGUUGUCCCGGUUUAAGCAUGUAGGCUGGUUGUCCAGGCAAAUCCGGAUAAUCAAGGCUGAGGUGUGAUGACGAGGCACUACGGUGCUGAAGUAACAAAUGCCCUGCUUCCAGGAAAAGCCUCUAAGCAUCAGGUAACAUCAAAUCGUACCCCAAACCGACACAGGUGGUCAGGUAGAGAAUACCAAGGCGCUUGAGAGAACUCGGGUGAAGGAACUAGGCAAAAUGGUGCCGUAACUUCGGGAGAAGGCACGCUGGUGUGUAGGUGAAGUCCCUGCGGAUGGAGCUGAGACCAGUCGAAGAUACCAGCUGGCUGCAACUGUUUAUUAAAAACACAGCACUGUGCAAACACGAAAGUGGACGUAUACGGUGUGACGCCUGCCCGGUGCCGGAAGGUUAAUUGAUGGGGUUAUCCGUAAGGAGAAGCUCUUGAUCGAAGCCCCGGUAAACGGCGGCCGUAACUAUAACGGUCCUAAGGUAGCGAAAUUCCUUGUCGGGUAAGUUCCGACCUGCACGAAUGGCGUAAUGAUGGCCAGGCUGUCUCCACCCGAGACUCAGUGAAAUUGAACUCGCUGUGAAGAUGCAGUGUACCCGCGGCAAGACGGAAAGACCCCGUGAACCUUUACUAUAGCUUGACACUGAACAUUGAGCCUUGAUGUGUAGGAUAGGUGGGAGGCUUUGAAGCGUGGACGCCAGUCUGCGUGGAGCCAACCUUGAAAUACCACCCUUUAAUGUUUGAUGUUCUAACGUUGGCCCCUGACCGGGGUUGCGGACAGUGUCUGGUGGGUAGUUUGACUGGGGCGGUCUCCUCCCAAAGCGUAACGGAGGAGCACGAAGGUUAGCUAAUCCUGGUCGGACAUCAGGAGGUUAGUGCAAUGGCAUAAGCUAGCUUGACUGCGAGCGUGACGGCGCGAGCAGGUGCGAAAGCAGGUCAUAGUGAUCCGGUGGUUCUGAAUGGAAGGGCCAUCGCUCAACGGAUAAAAGGUACUCCGGGGAUAACAGGCUGAUACCGCCCAAGAGUUCAUAUCGACGGCGGUGUUUGGCACCUCGAUGUCGGCUCAUCACAUCCUGGGGCUGAAGUAGGUCCCAAGGGUAUGGCUGUUCGCCAUUUAAAGUGGUACGCGAGCUGGGUUUAGAACGUCGUGAGACAGUUCGGUCCCUAUCUGCCGUGGGCGCUGGAGAAUUGAGGGGGGCUGCUCCUAGUACGAGAGGACCGGAGUGGACGCAUCACUGGUGUUCGGGUUGUCAUGCCAAUGGCACUGCCCGGUAGCUAAAUGCGGAAGAGAUAAGUGCUGAAAGCAUCUAAGCACGAAACUUGCCCCGAGAUGAGUUCUCCCUGAGACUUUAAGUCUCCUGAAGGAACGUUGAAGACGACGACGUUGAUAGGCCGGGUGUGUAAGCGCAGCGAUGCGUUGAGCUAACCGGUACUAAUGAACCGUGAGGCUUAACCUU
rnacentral:rRNA from 2 species